CGCCAAGUUCGGUUUUGGUAACUUGACUCGAAAUCAGGUAAUCCCUAACGGGACCGAGGGUUCGAAUCCCUUACUCUCCGCCA
rnacentral:tRNA from 1 species